UGAGGUCAGUGCGGUGGAGUUGCAGGAGCUGCGCGUGCGGAGGAGCUAUGGAGCUGACCCCGGGAGCCAGGAGCAUGAGGACCUGGAGUCUGUGUCAGAUUUGUACCUCCGGGUCAGAUUCUCGUCCUUAUGAAAUAGUCAAACAGCCUCGCCAUGCACCAGAAGAAUAUAAACCAAAGCAGGGGGAGAUUGAUCUUGGUACUACCUACAAAUGGCAUCUUAAUUCUUGUAAAGUGCAGCGUGUGGCAAUAGCUCGGCCUUUGGAGAGACAAGUUAAAAAAGGGAAGUUGGAUACUGUCCCGACCUAUAAAGAUUUCAAGGCAUCUGCAUAGUGUACCCUGAGUCAAGUUUUGGUUGGCAGUGUCAAGAUGGCUGCACUGCUCCUCGCUGUGUUCAAGUUAGAAAGAGGCAUUGUGGUGUGACAAGUAAAGGCUCUGUGGCUUGGGAAUCAAAGCACCUGUGUUCAAGUUUCAAUGACACCAGUUUCUACUUGUGCCAUCCUAGGGGUAUGUGUUAGCAGCUCUGAAACUACAUGUAUAAUAAGGUCAAACCAAGAAAAUAUAUUGCAGAUAAUGAAAGCCAGGCUUCUCCCUGUCAGAGAAAGAAGUUGACAAACAAGAAAAAGUUCUCUGAGAGCAAGGACAAGAUGCCAUUCCCCCAGGAUGCCUGGAUCAGUCAGGGUCACAAGCCUGUCCAGAGCGAUUGUCUCCUUUUCACAGACUAAACGUAAGGGUCCAUAAAAAUGCCAUUAGAGCCAACAUCUUAACAACUACUGGCCAGAGCUUCUAAAAUGUAAAUGCCUUAUAAGCCUGUUGCAACCCUACAACUGAGAGAAGUCAUC